GGACAGGGCCAGGGCCUACGAUUGCUUCGACUCGUUUGCUGAAAGAGAACUUGGGUGCUACCGCUGCAAUCAUUCACAAUGAUUACUUUUGUUAUAUUUUGAAGCUUGGACUCUGAAGUGUCAAAGAAAUGUGAGGAGUAAAGUUGCGUCUUGAGUACAGCUCUAGAUCGUGACACCGGGCCUGACCCUGAGUUAAAAACAUGGUGAGGAAGCAAUUGGUUUAUUUCCAGUCCAGUUCAGCUUUGAAACGGAUUCCAGACACACGCUGCACGUGACACGAAUGUCCAAGUCGACAUCCUGCGCUUGAGCGGCCAUCUUCAAGUUACAUGGAAGCGACCUCGUGGAUUUUCCUCUGACGUUUAUCGUUCUACACCUCUCAAGGCUGGGAAUGUGAAAAGUGGGGGUGGGUGGGUUGGUGGGUGGGGCGACUACAUGGUAACCAGGGUGUGUCACGCACACACAUGAAAUCCUAAGAUACCCACCCCUGGACCCAGACCUUUUCUCUGCACAAGAAAAAUAUAAACUUCUGUUGCUCCACUGACUUGAUCUCUAUGUAUAGUAUAAAAGUCUUUAUUGUCUAUUUCCUGUUUACAAAAGAGAUUGAAAUGUUUUCCUUGUUGAUAGCUCCCGUAAGUAAUAAACUACAACAAAAGUCACCUACAGUUACACUCACACUCAACCACUCAGCAACGAUUAUCAGAGGCACACCUGAUUAGUGUUAAUCGGGGAUUGUUUGAUGAUAUGCUUAGACCUUGAUCACUAAAACAGAUGUAGGGAGGGUUACAUUCACCUUUAAGUGAUUUCGCACUUUAGGGGAGAGGGGGGGGGGCUGGGCAAAUGUCAUAUUCGGGGCCGAGAGCCGUAAGAUUAGGCUAUAUACCGUAUUACAAGAAUCCCUUAUCGCGGGGCUCCAGUUGCUAUCCAGGCCGCCUCUGAACAGGAGUACCUGGAGAAAACCCUUGACGCCUAGUCCUGAGAACAGGUGUCACGUACAGAGUGCUGCGAAACGAAAUCUGAACCCUGAGUUUCUCACUGCAGUGGUGGCAAGCGAGUGUUUUUACAACCACACUACCAGCUCAUACACCGGGUCUCACGCGGUCCAUGUUACAUCUUGAAUGACUGAAGGAUCGCACCCUCGUCAGUCUCUCAGGCAAUGUCAUGUUGAAAAUCAUGCUGAACAAUAGUACAGACUGAAACUGCUGAAAGAAGAUGUGGUGAUGGAUAGCUGGUGAUACAUGCAUACAUGCACAGGCUGGUGAAGAGUAGGCUUUGUGCAGACAGGAUUGGUACUAGCAUUUAACUGAAAAAAAAGCGCCUGCAAGCAUCCCAUUAAUUCAAGUAAUGUUGAUUUCUUCUGUUGUUUCGCGUGCGUUUUAUUUUUUCUUUAGAACUUUAUUCAGAUAGUAAUGUUGCGUACCCAGUGAACAAACCUACAUAAUGAAUAAAAACAAAGAAAAACAUAAAACAAAGUAAUAACAAUCAAUGGCAAACGUUAGAGUAGGUACUGCCUCUUUUUAUGUACAGAAAAUCCAAAUUCGUCAACAAAAACAAGUGUUAGAUCAGAGUUCUGUAGUUCUCUCUACAGGUGUCUGGCUAGUGCAAAAAGAAAAAAAUUAUUAUACACAAACGAAAAAGCUGCCUUCCUUUAUAUUUUUUUUUUUUUUUUUUUGCCAGGUACAACUUUGGUAAACCAUAUUUACAACUACGUUUACUAUGUAAACACAAAUAAAUUAGUCUCUCAUUCGCUUCGAUAUAUCCAGGGUUGUCCAUGGGACAUAUUUUCUAUCCCAUCCCAUCCCAUGGCAAUUUUUGCCUGUCCCAUCCCAUCCCGUCCCAUGGACGUUUCCCAUGGGAUUCCCAUGGUAAUAACAUUCCUAU